rnacentral:rRNA from 1 species
AGAGUUUGAUCCUGGCUCAGAAUGAACGCUGGCGGCGUGCCUAACACAUGCAAGUCGAACGAGGUCUAGGUGCUUGCACCUGGAACCGAGUGGCGGACGGGUGAGUAACACGUGGGUAAUCUGCCCUGAGGACGGGGACAACAGCUUGAAAAGGCUGCUAAUACCCGAUGACCUCCUUUGUCUUAGUUGACUUUGGAGCAAAUGAAUUUCGCCUCAGGAUGAGCCCGCGCCCCAUUAGCUAGUUGGUAGGGUAAUGGCCUACCAAGGCUACGAUGGGUAGCCGGCCUGAGAGGGUGAUCGGCCACACUGGAACUGAGACACGGUCCAGACUCCUACGGGAGGCAGCAGUGGGGAAUAUUGGGCAAUGGGCGCAAGCCUGACCCAGCAACGCCGCGUGGGGGAUGAAGCAUCUCGGUGUGUAAACCCCUGUAAGAAGGGAAGAAGGCUUCGGCCUGACGGUACCUUCAGAGUAAGCCCCGGCUAACUCCGUGCCAGCAGCCGCGGUAAUACGGAGGGGGCAAGCGUUAUUCGGAAUUACUGGGCGUAAAGAGCGCGUAGGCGGUCUUGUAAGUCUCUCGUCCAAUCCAUCGGCUCAACCGGUGAUUUGCGGGAGAUACUACAUAACUAGAGUUCGGGAGAGGGGAGUGGAAUUCCUAGUGUAGCGGUGAAAUGCGUAGAUAUUAGGAGGAACACCCGUGGCGAAGGCGACUCCCUGGACCGAUACUGACGCUGAGGCGCGAAAGCUAGGGGAGCGAACGGGAUUAGAUACCCCGGUAGUCCUAGCUGUAAACGAUGGGUACUAGGUGUGGUGGGUAUCGACCCCUACCGUGCCGCAGUUAACGCAAUAAGUACCCCGCCUGGGGAGUACGUUCGCAAGAAUAAAACUCAAAGGAAUUGACGG